rnacentral:rRNA from 1 species
UAUCGUAAUUGAAGAGGUUUGGAAAGACCCACCACAGAAGGUAAUAGUCCUGUAUGUUAAACGAGAAGACUUUAGAUAUGAUCCAGAGUACCACGGGACACGUGAAACCCUGUGGGAAGCAGGAGGGACCACCCUCCAAGGCUAAAUACUACCUAGUGACCGAUAGCGUAUAGUACCGUGAGGGAAAGGUGAAAAGAACCCCGGGAGGGGAGUGAAAUAGAACCUGAAACCCUGCACUUACAAGCUGUGGAAGCACAUUUCUUGUGUGACCGCGUACUUUUUGUAGAACGGGCCAACGAGUUACGUUAAGUAGCAAGGUUAAGCACUUAAGGUGUGGAGCCGUAGCGAAAGCGAGUUUUAACUGAGCGUUCAGUUACUUGACGUAGACCCGAAACCGGGCGACCUACCCAUGAGCAGGAUGAAGCGAAAGUAAAAUUUCGUGGAGGUCCGAACCCACGAGCGUUGAAAAGCUCGGGGAUGACUUGUGGGUAGCGGUGAAAUUCCAAUCGAGCCCGGAGAUAGCUGGUUCUCCCCGAAAUAGCUUUAGGGCUAGCCUCAAGGUGAGAGAUACGGAGGUAGAGCACUGAAUGUCCUAGGGGGUAUUGCACCUACCGAAGACUAUCAAACUCCGAAUGCCGUCAUCUUAUACUUGGGAGUCAGACUGUGGGUGAUAAGAUUCAUAGUCGAAAGGGCAACAGCCCAGAUCGUCAGCUAAGGUCCCUAAAUGUAAGUUAAGUGGUAAAGGAUGUGGGAUUGCACAGACAACCAGGAUGUUGGCUUAGAAGCAGCCACUCAUUCAAAGAGUGCGUAAUAGCUCACUGGUCGAGUGAUCCUGCGCCGAAGAUUUCCGGGGCUAAAACUUACUACCGAAGCUACGGCAUCAGUAAUGAUGGGUAGGGGAGCUUCCCAUACGGGUUGAAGCAUGACCGUAAGGACAUGUGGACAGUAUGGGAGUGAGAAUGUUGGCAUGAGUAGCGAGAUGUGGGUGAGAAUCCCACAGGCCGUAAACCCAAGGUUUCCAGGGGAAGGUUCGUCCGCCCUGGGUU